GGGUGCGAUCAUACCAACGUUAAUGCACCGGAUCCCAUCAGAACUCCUCGUUAAGCAUGCUUGGGAUAGAGUAGUACUGGGAUGGGUGACCUCCCGGGAAGUCCUAGUGUUGCACCCU
rfam:Picea glauca, whole genome shotgun sequence.